ACCAAUACAUGUAACAACUCUCAACGUGAUAUUGAACAUGUUAAGCAUGCCUUAGACCAUCCUUAUUACAUGUCUCAUACUAUAAAUCUUAGGUAUAAUAUAAUCAAAAUAACAUGUGAAUAGUUUAGAAGUGUUUCUUAGCUAAGAGAUAAAAGAAGGUUUAAGAGCUUCAAACCAUUACAAAAAUUCUUAGCUAUAAUGUUUUUCAAUAAAACAAUUCAUCAUAAUAGUUAAGAGACAAAAUUAAGAGUCUACCAUUAAAGUUGCUCUUAGACUCGUCCAACAGUUUGAAUCCUAUAUUUCAUCGUCCAAAUUCUUUUAACGCAAAGUGCAAAAUCUUGAACCCUACACCUCUUAAUAUCGUGUUUCCACACCAAGAUUCUAUUGAUCGUCAACAUUUAGACAUGAAUUCCUUGUUAUCAAAGCACAAUCUGUGUUUUCCAAGGUGGUCGAUCUUUGAUGAAAGUGUCCAAACCAGCCAAUCUUUUUGAAUAAUCUAUUUAUUAUAUUGAUUCUGAAGAAGAUGAGAAAAAUGAUAAGGAUCAAUAUGAUGUUCGUACGCAUAGUCUACCAUAUGAAAAAUACGGUCCAU
rnacentral:sRNA from 1 species